GGCCUGCCGAUGGACAUAGUUUCUGACCGGGGGCCCCAAUUUGUGUCCAAGUUUUGGCAAGAGUUUUGUAGGUUACUGGGAGCGAGUGUCAGCCUGUUUUCAGGGUUUCAUCCCCAGAGCAACGGUCAAACGGAGAGGGCCAACCAAGAUUUGGAGAGAGUGUUGCGAUGUUUGGUUUCUAAGAAUCCCUCUUCCUGGAGUCAACAACUCUCUAUGGUUGAGUACGCUCACAAUUCGUUGCCUGUGGCAGCCACGGGUCUCUCUCCGUUUGAGUGUAGUUUAGGUUACCAGCCACCUAUCUUUCCCAGUACGGAGUCCGAGGUCACUGUUCCCUCCGCUCACGCUUUCAUCCAGAGGUGCCGUCACGCAUGGGGAAGAGCCCAUGAGACUCUUCUCCAGGUGGGGGCGCGCACCAAGGCUAAGGCCGAUCGCCACCGGUCGAAGCCUCCGGUAUACGUCGUUGGCCAAAGAGUGUGGCUUUCUACUAAGAACAUUCCACUCCGAUCCGUUUCGAACAAGCUUGCCCCCAAAUUUAUCGGCCCGUUCAAAGUCACCAGGAUCAUUAGUCCGGUGGCGGUCCGGCUCAAGCUUCCUCCGGCGUAUAGGAUAAUUCAUCCUACCUUUCAUGUGUCUAAAAUAAAACCUGUGUUUCAGGCACGCAUUAACCCGCUGGUCCCGGUUCCCCCGCCGCCACGACUUGUUGAUGGGGAAACCACCUUUUCUGUCAAUCGUAUUUUGGACUCUAGAAGGAGAGGACGCGGAUUCCAGUACCUGGUGGACUGGGAGGGUUACGGCCCGGAGGAGAGAAGUUGGGUACCUGCUAGGGACAUUCUGGAUCACUCCCUUAUCGAUGAUUUCAAUCGACAGAUCGUUGUUUCUUCCCUGAGGUUGUGUCGUGUGUCCGUGCUCUUCUCUUGUGUGGAUUAUCUGCUGUGCUCCUUCCUACUCAUCCGGACACACUCCCCUGGGUUUUCUCAGCACGCUAUCAUCGGAAGAUGCGCCCGAGUCCCUGGGUCGGAUUCCGUCUGAGUACAGUCUGUCUGUCCUGUUGCUGCUGUGAACUAUAUUCAUUAAACCAUCGUUGCUUGCAUCUUG